rnacentral:rRNA from 1 species
GGUGCAUGGUUGCCGUCAGCUCGUGUCGUGAGAUGUUGGGUUAAAGUCCCGCAACGAGCGCAACCCUCGACCUUAGUUGCCAGCAUUCAGUUGGGCACUCUAAGGUGACUGCCGGCUAAAAGUCGGAGGAAGGUGGGGAUGACGUCAAAUCAUCAUGCCCCUUAUGACCUGGGCUACACACGUGCUACAAUGGGCGGUACAAAGGGUCGCGAACCCGCGAGGGGGAGCCAAUCCCAAAAAGACCGCUCUCAGUUCGGAUUGCAGGCUGCAACUCGCCUGCAUGAAGCCGGAAUCGCUAGUAAUCGCGGAUCAGCAUGCCGCGGUGAAUACGUUCCCGGGCCUU